rnacentral:snRNA from 1 species
ACAAAUAUACAAACCAAAAAGAU